rnacentral:rRNA from 1 species
GAUGAACGCUGGCGGCGUGCCUAAUACAUGCAAGUCGAGCGAACGGACGAGAAGCUUGCUUCUCUGAGGUUAGCGGCGGACGGGUGAGUAACACGUGGAUAACCUACCUAUAAGACUGGGAUAACUUCGGGAAACCGUAGCUAAUACCGGAUAAUAUUUUGAACGGCAUGGUUCAAAAGUGAAAGACGGUCUUGCUGUCACUUAUAGAUGGAUCCGCGCUGCAUUAGCUAGUUGGUAAGGUAACGGCUUACCAAGGCAACGAUGCAUAGCCGACCUGAGAGGAUGAUCGGCCACACUGGAACUGAGACACGGUCCAGACUCCUACGGGAGGCAGCAGUAGGGAAUCUUCCGCAAUGGGCGAAAGCCUGACGGAGCAACGCCGCGUGAGUGAUGAAGGUCUUCGGAUCGUAAAACUCUGUUAUUAGGGAAGAACAUAUGUGUGAGUACCUGUGCACAUCUUGACGGUACCUAAUCAGAAAGCCACGGCUAACUACGUG